GGUUAUAUCGAUUGUACAGUUCCACACCACAAUUUACAGCUUUAAGUUCAACAAUCGAAAUCCGUACCGGGGACUGCAGCAAUAGAAAAUCCCACCAAAUUAUUGAAGUGACUGAAACUAGACUUGGCCACCGGUGUACGUACUUCGCUAAUUUUAUUUGUGGUGUGAGACAAUCUGAUUUAAAGAAAUAAAUCAAAGGAACAUCGAACCGUAUGGUUGAGACAAAGAUAAAUGA